rnacentral:rRNA from 1 species
AGAGUUUGAUCCUGGCUCAGAUUGAACGCUGGCGGUAUGCUUAACACAUGCAAGUCGAACGGUAACAGGCCGCUGGGAUCCCUUCGGGGUGACCUUGGCGCUGACGAGUGGCGGACGGGUGAGUAAUACUUAGGAAUCUGCCCAGUAGCGGGGGACAACUCGAGGAAACUCGAGCUAAUACCGCAUACGCCCUACGGGGGAAAGCGGGGGAUCUUCGGACCUCGCACUAUUGGAUGAGCCUAAGUCGGAUUAGCUUGUUGGUGAGGUAAUGGCUCACCAAGGCAACGAUCCGUAGCUGGUCUGAGAGGACGACCAGCCACACUGGGACUGAGACACGGCCCAGACUCCUACGGGAGGCAGCAGUGGGGAAUAUUGGACAAUGGGCGCAAGCCUGAUCCAGCAAUACCGCGUGUGUGAAGAAGGCCUGCGGGUUGUAAAGCACUUUCAGUGGGGAAGAAAUGUCUGAGGUUAAUACCCUCGGAUCUUGACGUAACCUACAGAAGAAGCACCGGCUAACUCCGUGCCAGCAGCCGCGGUAAUACGGGGGGUGCAAGCGUUAAUCGGAAUUACUGGGCGUAAAGCGCGCGUAGGCGGCUUUGUAAGUCGGAUGUGAAAGCCCUGGGCUCAACCUGGGAACUGCAUUCGAAAC